CCUACGGGGGGCUGCAGUGGGGAAUAUUGCACAAUGGGCGCAAGCCUGAUGCGGCCAUGCCGCGUGUGUGAAGAAGGCCUUCGGGUUGUAAAGCACUUUCAGCGGGGAGGAAGGCGGUGAGGUUAAUAACCUCAUCGAUUGACGUUACCCGCAGAAGAAGCACCGGCUACCUCCGUGCCAGCAGCCGCGGUAAUACGGAGGGUGCAAGCGUUAAUCGGAAUUACUGGGCGUAAAGCGCACGCAGGCGGUCUGUCAAGUCGGAUGUGAAAUCCCCGGGCUCAACCUGGGAACUGCAUUCGAAACUGGCAGGCUAGAGUCUUGUAGAGGGGGGUAGAAUUCCAGGUGUAGCGGUGAAAUGCGUAGAGAUCUGGAGGAAUACCGGUGGCGAAGGCGGCCCCCUGGACAAAGACUGACGCUCAGGUGCGAAAGCGUGGGGAGCAAACAGGAUUAGAUACCCGUGUAGUC
rnacentral:rRNA from 1 species